GCCAGGCGUGGUGGCACGCACCUGUAGUCCCAGCCACUCAGGAGGCUGAGGCAGGGGGAUUCCUUGAGCCCAGGAGUUUGAGGUUGCAGUGAGCUAUGAUGGUACCACUGCACUCCAGCCUGGGCAACAGAGCAAGAUCCUGUCUCAA
rnacentral:SRP_RNA from 2 species